rnacentral:rRNA from 1 species
AUGCUCUGUUCAUGGCUUUGUUCUUAUUUUAUCCUUCUUUCUUUGCUUUGUUCUUUCCUACAAGAAGAUGCCGAGUUGUGUCAUAUGUUCAAAGAAGAGAAUCUGCAUUUUAUGAAUGCUCUCUUCUUUCUUCAUUGUUACCUCAAGUUAGUGCAUUUAGUUAAGUUUUACCGAGUAGCUUCAUACGCAUGGUUUCUCCCUCUACACGUCUUAUUCAGUCAUGAGGCCAUUAAGAUCUUUUGCCUUUUAGAAAAAGGGAGAUGCCGUUUAGACCUUACUCUGUCCAACUUGAUCUUUAACUUGCUACUACUAUUUCUAAGAAUUUUCCCAAGCACUGUUUUAUUUGCUACAGAGAAUGAGGUCACCUUAUUCAGUGAAUGUUCCAAGUAA